GCCUUCGUGGUGUAGAUGUCUGCAUGCUCGACUUGUAACCGAGAGGUCCGAGGUUCGAUUCCCGGCGAAGGUG
rnacentral:tRNA from 1 species